UUCGAGAAAGGGGGGUUUUUGACCACGUCUUCGAUCUCAUCCUCCUCUCGAUUCCAUCACCUCGCCUUCGUCGCACCUUCGGCACCUUCACCCGAGUCGUCGUCACCGGAGAGAUGAAGCGAGUUUUUGGGGCCAAGAAGAACAAGGAGCCGCCACCGACGAUUCAGGAGGCGACCGAUAGGAUAAAUAAAAGGGGAGAAACAGUUGAUGAGAAAAUCAAGAAACUUGAUGCUGAAUUAGCUAGAUACAAGGAGCAGAUCAAGAAGACACGACCUGGUCCUGCUCAAGAAGCUGUCAAAGCCCGAGCAAUGAGGGUUCUUAAGCAAAAGAGGAUGUAUGAGGGACAGCGUGACAUGAUGUAUAACCAGACAUUCAACCUCGACCAAGUUGCCUUUGCUACAGAGGGACUUAAAGAUGCUCAACAGACAAUGUCAGCACUGAAGUCUGCAAACAAGGAGUUGAAAGGGGUGAUGAAAACUGUGAAUAUUUCAGAUAUAGAUAGUAUGCAAGACGAGAUGCUUGAUAUGAUGGAUAUUAGUACAGAAAUCCAAGAAUCACUUGGAAGAAGCUACAAUGUCCCUGAUGACAUUGAUGAGGAAGAACUAUUUGGUGAGCUUGAUGCUUUGGAAGCUGACAUGGGAGCAGAGAUUGAAUCUGAUGCAGUUCCAUCUUAUCUUCAACCAGAUAAGGAAUCUGACCUGGAUUCAGAACUCAACUUACCUGCAGCUCCAACAGGCAAUGCUGCAGCAGUACACAACAGAGUCAAUCCCCAGGAUGAUCUAGGCUUGCCUGCUGUGCCCCAAGCAUCAUUACGCAAUUAGAGUAGUUGUCACCAGGAUUGGCAGAUGGAACUACUAUUCUCACGUGCGGUGUUCAUGUUCACAAACACGAUAAUGUACUCCAGGAUUGGCGUGUGGACCAGUUUAUGCCAAAGCUUUAGUGGUUCUGUCGGACACGUUGGGAAACCGUGGCAAAACGAGAGAUUCUAGGUGCCUCCCUGGAAACAUUAAAUAAAUAUUGACGAGUGUUUUUUUUUUUAA